rnacentral:rRNA from 1 species
UAGGGAAUCUUCGGCAAUGGGGGCAACCCUGACCGAGCAACGCCGCGUGAGUGAAGAAGGUUUUCGGAUCGUAAAGCUCUGUUGUAAGAGAAGAACGUGUGUGAGAGUGGAAAGUUCACACAGUGACGGUAACUUACCAGAAAGGGACGGCUAACUACGUGCCAGCAGCCGCGGUAAUACGUAGGUCCCGAGCGUUGUCCGGAUUUAUUGGGCGUAAAGCGAGCGCAGGCGGUUUAAUAAGUCUGAAGUUAAAGGCAGUGGCUUAACCAUUGUUCGCUUUGGAAACUGUUAAACUGGAGUGCAGAAGGGGAGAGUGGAAUUCCAUGUGUAGCGGUGAAAUGCGUAGAUAUAUGGAGGAACACCGGUGGCGAAAGCGGCGCGCUGGACUGUAACUGACGCUGAGGCUCGAAAGCGUGGGGAGCAAACAGG